GAUGAACGCUGGCGGCGUGCCUAACACAUGCAAGUCGAGCGAAGCGAUCGAGAUGAAGUUUUCGGAUGGAUUCCUGAUUGACUGAGCGGCGGACGGGUGAGUAACGCGUGGGUAACCUGCCUCAUACAGGGGGAUAACAGUUAGAAAUGACUGCUAAUACCGCAUAAGCGCACAGUACCACAUGGUACGGUGUGAAAAACUCCGGUGGUAUGAGAUGGACCCGCGUCUGAUUAGCUGGUUGGUGGGGUAACGGCCCACCAAGGCGACGAUCAGUAGCCGACCUGAGAGGGUGACCGGCCACAUUGGGACUGAGACACGGGCCCAAACUCCUACGGGAGGCAGCAGUGGGAAUAUUGCACAAUGGGGGAAACCCUGAUGCAGCAACGCCGCGUGAGUGAAG
rnacentral:rRNA from 1 species